rnacentral:rRNA from 1 species
AGCGAACGCUGGCGGCAGGCCUAACACAUGCGAGUCGAGCGCCCAGCAAUGGGAGCGGCAGACGGGUGAGUAACGCGUGGGGAUGUGCCCAAUGGUGCGGAAUAACCCAGGGAAACUUGGAUUAAUACCGCAUGUGCCCUUCGGGGGAAAGAUUUAUCGCCAUUGGAACAACCCGCGUCUGAUUAGCUAGUUGGUGAGGUAAAGGCUCACCAAGGCGACGAUCAGUAGCUGGUCUGAGAGGAUGAUCAGCCACACUGGGACUGAGACACGGCCCAGACUCCUACGGGAGGCAGCAGUGGGGAAUAUUGGACAAUGGGCGCAAGCCUGAUCCAGCCAUGCCGCGUGAGUGAUGAAGGCCUUAGGGUUGUAAAGCUCUUUCGCCGGUGAAGAUAAUGACGGUAACCGGAGAAGAAGCCCCGGCUAACUUCGUGCCAGCAGCCGCCGUAA